UCUGUCUUGACUCUGUGGAGGCAUCAGCCGUCCUGUACGUGUGUUCUGAUGGAGCAGUAGCAUCACAGUGAUGACAGGAAGAGACUGGACCGGGUCAUCAACAAGUCCAGCUCUGUCCUGGACUGCACUCUGGACACGGUGCAGGAGGUGGUGAGAGAAGGGUCCUGGCUGAACCCACAUCCAUCCUGGACCAGGACUCUGAUCCACUGGAGGACUCACUGUCUGCUCUGGAGCAGCUUCAGUAGCAGACUGAAGUCCUCGCUGGAGGAGAGGUUCUGUAGAUCUUUCCUCCCUGCUGCAUCAGACUCUAUAAUAUGUGCAUUAUAAUGUGCAAUAUUCUCCAUCCACCUCUAUAUCUGCAUCUCUGUUUCGCUAUACGUGUGUGUGUAUGUGCUUUUCUCCUAUGUUCAUUCCUGAAGCUGUGAUGACGUAAGAUGCAUUUUCCCCUCUGUGGGACUAAUGAAGGCAUUCUCAUUCUUUCUUCUUCACCUGUGUGGGGCUGAGCAGUCUUCAUGCAUUAUGCUUGACCUGGUUGUGCAUCACCCACUUCAACCUGACGAACCUCAGUGGAAACACGUUUGUUUGCUGUUCUCUGCAGCGUGGCCACCGGCAGGAAGACUGCAGCAAUGAGCACGAGGCUGCGGCAGCAUGAAGCUCUGAGAACAUGAAUGCAGUACAUGAAGAAAGCCCAAUGACAGAAUGGUCUAAGGUCCGGACGGCGUCCCACAGGUGCAGGACACUGAGACCAGAGCUGGCAGCCGCUCUGCGUCAUGAUGAAAACGCUGGGUUACAGCAAUGACUGUUGGUGCGUGGGUGGUGGAGCAGGUUAGGAGUUUAUCAGAACAGGCAUGGGUCCUGACAUUUGGCUCACGCCUCUGUAAUGCUGUACCAGUACCUGUGGGCUCACGAUAAAUGUAGCUUCAUGUGUUUGGACCAUGUGAAGGUUUGGAUUCAUAAGUGAAAAGGUUCAAUGUCAGACUCUCAAACUGGUUUAUGGAUGUGGAAGAUCAAAUCGUAUAUGGAUCUGAUUGAAGUAUAUCACCUUUAAACUGUGGAGUCAGGAGCUCAGAGGUCAGGGUGGGAAGUGUGUCAUCAUAGUUUAAGUCCGCUGGGAUCAGAUGGAGGCAGCAGACGUCCACACAUCUGCUCCUUUACCUACUAGAUGGAUUGGGUGAAAGGGGCUGUAAAUGCUGACUGACACUGCUGGCAGCAGCCUCCAGCGCCCUGUAGGUGGCGCACUGCAGGCUUUGUGUCUGGGCUUUAGGUGUGACAGCAGCGCCAUCGUGUGACUUUUAUCCCAAACAGACUCUGGUUCCCUGUGUUCAUCAGAGCAGAAGUGUAUGGACAGUUAACCCUACUCAACCCUUAUGAUGGAACACAUUCAAGCACUGCUCUUUGAACAAGGCUGUGACUGGACCCACAAAGCUACGUCGAUACCAGUGAUGUCAGAUGAUACGGAUUCUCACAUACAUGUACGUAACGAUGGGGAAGGACCUUUUCUUUUGGGAUGCCAUUGGUUGGAUAUUAAUAAUCAUGAACUUCAGUUUGGCAUCGGGUGUAUGCUUAUUACAUCUCUCUGUAUUUGAGAUGGUUACAAAAGGACAAUAAUGUCCUUUUAAAUAAAAAAAAUAUACAAAAGAAAAUUAAAGACAGACACAGAAUUGGUCCAUUCAACAGGAGCAUCAUCAGGUGUCGUUCCCAGCACAGGAUGAUAAAACCAUUAUAAACCAUAAUAAUAAGGGCGAAGCAGCUCUAGUGUCACCGUAAGCGAGUACGAAACAUCAGUUUGGGGAAAGUGAACUAUUUAAUUUACUUUGAAUGAAAAUGCUAAUUAUUUGUAGUUAUUUGUGUAAAAUUCAUUUCCUUUUCUUAAUGUGUACGUCUCGUCCCAUCAGACAUUACAGUUUUUAUUAGUCGCUUUGACCUGUUUUGCAUAACUAGGUUCCACUUAUUUUCAUCUUCACCAUUCCAGCAGAGCAUAAGACACAUGAAGCAUAUUGUUCGCCCCUCCGGCCUGCUGGGGGCGCUUUAGGUUUCAGUCCUGUGUGCUUGAUGUCUCCUCUUAGUUGUUUCCUGUCUUGUAAUUGGUGUCAUUAUUUCCACCUGCAUAUUUAGUACUUCAGUUCCUGGUUUGAGUUCAGUCUUGUUGGUUCGUUGAGGACGUUACCUCUGUUUGGUGUUGCCAUCUUGUGCCCGUCCUGUCUCCAGUCAAGGUUUGUCUGGUCCCUGUGUUGUCCUCGUGUUUGUUGCAUGUUUUUAGUUUUGAGUUAUUAGUUUGUUUCUCCUUUGAGUUGUCUUCCUGCUUGUCUUUAUUUAUUAUUAAAUUAUUUGUAUCUGA